AACUUGUCCAGGUUGUAAUAUUUAGAGAUGGGACAUAUCUAAGCUUAAAAGAAGUUUUUUAGAGUUUAGACUAGACUGGGUAAAAUCUUAUUCCUAAAGCAGGAUAAUCUCAUUCAAGGUAUAGAGAGGGAAAUUGGAGCAUUACAAUUGGAAGAAAAGAAGCUUCUUGCUGAGAUAAAGAGAACUGCUAAGAUGGGAAAUG